AGGCAAACUGUUGUGAGGACCAAGUCUGAAGCAACUAACUAUGACAGUGUGUAUGGAGAACCUAUUCCUGUUAAGGAACUUGCUGAACGCGUGGCUAGUUAUGUGCACCUUUGCACACUAUACUGGUGGCUCAGACCUUUUGGAUGUGGAGUCAUACUAGGAGGUUAUGAUAGAGAUGGACCACAAUUGUACAUGGUUGAACCUUCUGGUGUUUCC